GAAAAACUACUGUAAUUGAUUAUUGUGAUGUGUCACAACUCACAAUUUAAUUGAUUCAGUCCAACCUGCACUAGUUUGUGGCGAGGGUGGUUGUUCGUUCGGUUUUAUUAUCUAUUUCUUUGAACGAUGAGUUCUGGAGCAAUUUACUCUGAACUUAAUCGUUUUCUUAAGUAUCUUAGGGAGUUAGAUUUUAGUAAUUUUUGUUUUAGUGAUUUUUUGUUUCGUUUUUCUUCCCUAAAAUCACUAAUCGAUGAGUAUAGUAGUCAUUGGUUAGUAAAUACGAAUGAAUUAGUCUGGUAUAGAACAAUCUGUGAGCAACGAUUGCAUCCUCAUCUUUUCGAUGCAAACAGGUUGUUAACACGGAUAAAUGUUUCAGAUUUGAAGCAUGACUUGAUAAUGAUUCGUGAUCAUUUUUCGAGUAUUGAUGAUUUUCUAAACAAGUAUCCGGCUAUACCAAUUCUUGUCUCAUUCACCAAAAAUAUUAGUGCGUUUUUAGAAGAUAAUGAGUGGGAAUCCGUUAUUCAUCAUACGGACUCACUCAAUCGUCUUGUUUUCCGAGAGUCGUGGUCAGACGGUUAUGGUUACGUUAACCACCAUCGUCUUUCAGCGUCGUCGCAUGAUUUUCAACAUAUGAAGUUAUGUGAUAUUUUUCGUUUGUCGAAGGAUAAGUUGAACAGUGGUGUGUUCACUUUCCUUCUUUAAUGUUUUCUUUUAGUAUAUUAAUAAAAAUCGAUAAAGAUAUUAGGGUAGAUUUGAUUGAUGUUUAUACCCUAGAGUCAUACACCUGAGAGAUUCGGAGUGUGUAUUAUAAAAACUCAAAAAAUAUAUGUUUCGUAUACGUAUUUCUAUUUAGAGUGUGUGUAUGAACGGUUUUCCUAAAUCGUCGUGAGACGGACCUUGGAAAACCUAGUAUUUAAAUAACUAGGUC
rnacentral:misc_RNA from 1 species